GACGAACGCUGGCGGCGUGCCUAAUACAUGCAAGUAGAACGCACAGUUUAUACCGUAGCUUGCUACACCAUAGACUGUGAGUUGCGAACGGGUGAGUAACGCGUAGGUAACCUGCCUGGUAGCGGGGGAUAACUAUUGGAAACGAUAGCUAAUACCGCAUAAUCUUGAUUAUUGCAUGAUAAUUGAUUGAAAGAUGCUAUUGCAUCACUAACAGAUGGACCUGCGUUGUAUUAGCUAGUAGGGGAGGUAACGGCUCACCUAGGCGACGAUACAUAGCCGAGCUGAGAGGGUGAUCGGCCACACUGGGACUGAGACACCGCCCCGACUCCCACGGGAGGCAGCAGUAGGGGAUCUUCGGCAAUGGGCGAAAGUCUGACCGAGCAACGCCGCGUGAGUGAAGAAGGUUUUCGGGUCGUAAAGCUCUGUUGUAAGAGAAGAACGGGUGUGAGAGUGGAAAGUUCACACUGUGACGGUAUCUUACCAGAAAGCGACGGCUAACUACGUG
rnacentral:rRNA from 1 species